AGAGUUUGAUCCUGGCUCAGGACGAACGCUGGCGGCGUGCCUAAUACAUGCAAGUCGAGCGAGCGGAACCAACAGAUUUACUUCGGUAAUGACGUWGGGAAAGCGAGCGGCGGAUGGGUGAGUAACACGUGGGGAACCUGCCCCUAAGUCUGGGAUACCAUUUGGAAACAGGUGCUAAUACCGGAUAAUAAAGCAGAUCGCAUGAUCAGCUUUUGAAAGGCGGCGUAAGCUGUCGCUAAGGGAUGGCCCCGCGGUGCAUUAGCUAGUUGGUAAGGUAACGGCUUACCAAGGCGACGAUGCAUAGCCGAGUUGAGAGACUGAUCGGCCACAUUGGGACUGAGACACGGCCCAAACUCCUACGGGAGGCAGCAGUAGGGAAUCUUCCACAAUGGACGCAAGUCUGAUGGAGCAACGCCGCGUGAGUGAAGAAGGUUUUCGGAUCGUAAAGCUCUGUUGUUGGUGAAGAAGGAUAGAGGUAGUAACUGGCCUUUAUUUGACGGUAAUCAACCAGAAAGUCACGGCUAACUACGUGCCAGCAGCCGCGGUAAUACGUAGGUGGCAAGCGUUGUCCGGAUUUAUUGGGCGUAAAGCGAGCGCAGGCGGAAAAAUAAGUCUAAUGUGAAAGCCCUCGGCUUAACCGAGGAACUGCAUCGGAAACUGUUUUUCUUGAGUGCAGAAGAGGAGAGUGGAACUCCAUGUGUAGCGGUGGAAUGCGUAGAUAUAUGGAAGAACACCAGUGGCGAAGGCGGCUCUCUGGUCUACAACUGACGCUGAGGCUCGAAAGCAUGGGUAGCGAACAGGAUUAGAUACCCUGGUAGUCC
rnacentral:rRNA from 1 species